AGAGUUUGAUCCUGGCUCAGGAUGAACGCUGGCGGUAUGCCUUACACAUGCAAGUCGAACGAAAUUAGCUUCGGUUAAUUUUAGUGGCGGACGGGUGAGUAACACGUGAGAAUUCGCCUUAGGAGGGGGAUAACGGAUGGAAACAUUCGCUAAAACCCCAUAUGCCCCUGGGUGAAACAGGGAGAUAAGUAAUACUGACUCACCUCUGCCUGAAGAGAAGCUCGCGGCUGAUUAGCUAGUGGUAGGGUAAAGGCCUACCAAGGCGACGAUCAGUAGCUGGUCUGAGAGGACGAUCAGCCAACUGGAACUGAGACACGGUCCAGACUCCUACGGGAGGCAGCAGUGAGGAAUUUUCUGCAAGGGCGAAAGCCUGACAGAGCAAUACCGCGUGAGGGAUGAAGACUUACUGAGUUGUAAACCCGGUACCUUAAGGAAGAAGAUCUGACGGUACUUAAGGUGGAAAGCAUCGGCUAACUCCGUCCAGCAGCCGCGGUAAGACGGGGGAUGCAAGUGUUAUCCGGAUUUACUGGGCGUAAAGCGCUGCAGGUGGUUUCUUAAGUCUACUGUUAAAUCUUGAGGCUCAACCUCAAAUCUGCAGUAAAACUAGGAGACUUGAGUAUAGUAGGGGUAGAGGGAAUUUCCAGUGGAGCGGUGAAAUGCUAGAUAUUGGAAAGAACACCGAUGGCGGAGGCACUCUACUGGGCUAUUACUGACACUCAGGACGAA
rnacentral:rRNA from 1 species